rnacentral:rRNA from 1 species
AUUGAACGCUGGCGGCAGGCCUAACACAGGCAAGUCGAACGAGUGGCGGACGGGUGAGUAAUGUCUGGGAAACUGCCUGAUGGAGGGGGAUAACUACUGGAAACGGUAGCUAAUACCGCAUACCAUCGGAUGUGCCCAGAUGGGAUUAGCUAGUAGGUGGGGUAAAGGCGCACCUAGGCGACGAUCCCUAGCGGGUCUGAGAGGCUGACCAGCCACGCUGUAAGUGAGACACGGUCCAGACUCAUACGGGAGGCAGCAGGGGGGAAUAUUGCACAAUGGGCGCAAGCCUGAUGCAGCCAUGCCGCGUGGAUGAAGAAGGCCUUCGGGUUGUAAAGUACUUUCAGCGGGGAGGCGUUACCCGCAGAAGAAGCACCGGCUAACUCCGUGCCAGCAGCCGCGGUAAUAC